rnacentral:tRNA from 2 species
UGUGCGGUGGUGCAGCAUGGUAGCACGUCUGUCUGAUACGCAGGAGAUCAUAGGUUCAAAUCCUAUUCGCACAA